GCUAUGGUAAUAAAUGGACAAUGAAAUAAACUCAUUGGACCCGGGGGCGGUACCCGGCGCCUCCACCAAAAUAUAAUAAACAAAAAAUUAUAUUUUGGUGGGGGCGAAAUAGGAUCGACAAGAGUGUAAAGAUUGCUCUUUUACUCGGCAUGGUACCACCGUUAUCGGGCUAAAUGAGUAGUUGCAAAUGACAACUAUGCGGAAGCACGUCUCGCCGCUUAAGGUGGUGUGAAUGUUUCAAAUUAAGCCUUAAACGCAGGUUUAAG
rnacentral:tmRNA from 1 species